ensembl:rRNA predicted gene, 22586
AUUCAUGGUCAUAGUGCCUUGAAUGUGCUUGAUCUCAUCUUAUCUCAGGAGCUAAGCAGGGUCUCAUUGCUUCACGUUUCUCUCCAUUUAGUUUGGUGUUGGCUACUGGUGUACUGUAUAUG